rnacentral:rRNA from 1 species
GAACGGGUGAGUAAUACAUAAAUAAUCUACCAUAAUGACUGGGAUAACCAAUGGAAACGCUGGCUAAUACCGGAUAGGUAAAACGAGGGCAUCUUUGUUUUAUUAAAGUAGGACUACUACACAAUAUGAUGAGUUUAUGGCGCAUUAGCUAGUUGGUGAGGUAACGGCUCACCAAGGCGAUGAUGCGUAGCCGACCUGAGAGGGUGACCGGCCACACUGGGACUGAGACACGGCCCAGACUCCUACGGGAGGCAGCAGUAGGGAAUUUUCGGCAAUGGGCGCAAGCCUGACCGAGCAACGCCGCGUGAGUGAAGAAGGCCUUCGGGUUGUAAAGCUCUGUUGUAAGGGAAGAACACUUUUUAGAGGAAAUGCUAGAGAGUUGACGGUACCUUACCAGAAAGCCACGGCUAACUACGUGCCAGCAGCCGCGGUAAUACGUAGGUGGCGAGCGUUAUCCGGAAUUAUUGGGCGUAAAGGGUGCGUAGGCGGUUUAUUAAGUCUGUGGUGAAAGUGCGGGGCUCAACCCCGUAUGGCCACAGAAACUGAUAGACUAGAGUACAGGAGAGGGCAGUGGAAUUCCAUGUGUAGCGGUAAAAUGCGUAGAUAUAUGGAGGAACACCGGUGGCGAAGGCGGCUGCCUGGCCUGUAACUGAUGCUGAGGCACGAAAGCGUGGGGAGCAAAUAGGAUUAGAUACCCUAGUAGUCCACGCUGUAAACGAUGAUUACUAAGUGUUGGAGAAAUUCAGUGCUGCAGUUAACGCAAUAAGUAAUCCGCCUGGNNNGUAUGCACGCAAGUGUGAAACU